UAGCCAUAUCACUUUGAAACACUAGUUCUCACCCAAUCACUGAAGUUAAGCAACAUCAAACCUAUUCAGUACUUAGAUGGGUGACCACUUUGGAAUACUAGGUGCUGUAAG